UACGUAGGGGGCAAGCGUUGUCCGGAUUUAUUGGGCGUAAAGAGCGUGUAGGCGGCCAGGUAGGUCUGCUGUGAAAACUCGAGGCUCAACCUCGAGAUGUCGGCGGAAACCAUCUGGCUAGAGUCCGGAAGAGGAAAGUGGAAUUCCCGUGGUACGAUGAAUGCGGCUGGAAAUGACUCGGGACGAAGACACCUAUUCGGCGAAGGGAAG
rnacentral:rRNA from 1 species